rnacentral:rRNA from 1 species
GGGCCCGCACAAGCGGUGGAGUAUGUGGUUUAAUUCGAUGCAACGCGAAGAACCUUACCAGGGUUUGACAUCCUGCGAAUCUCUUGGAAACUUGAGAGUGCCUUCGGGAGCGCAGUGACAGGUGGUGCAUGGCUGUCGUCAGCUCGUGUCGUGAGAUGUUGGGUUAAGUCCCGCAACGAGCGCAACCCACGUCUUUAGUUGCCAGCAUUUAGUUGGGCACUCUAGAGAGACCGCCGGUGAUAAACCGGAGGAAGGUGUGGAUGACGUCAAGUCAUCAUGCCCCUUACAUCCUGGGCUACACACGUACUACAAUGGUACUUACAAUGGGAUGCAAAGAGGCGACUCUUAGCUAAUCCCUAAAAUGUACCUCAGUUCGGAUUGUACUCUGUAACUCGAGUGCAUG